rnacentral:misc_RNA from 1 species
CCUAGAGUUGUAGGCUUUGCCUGCUAUCUCUUACCCAUGUCUUUUGAGUACCUUCGUUUCCUCGGCGGGUCCGCCCGCCGAUUGGACAAUUUUAAACCAUUUGCAGUUGCAAUCAGCGUCUGAAAAAACUUAAUAGUUA